rnacentral:rRNA from 1 species
GACGAACGCUGGCGGCGUGCCUAAUACAUGCAAGUAGAACGCUGAAGGAGGAGCUUGCUUCUCCGGAUGAGUUGCGAACGGGUGAGUAACGCGUAGGUAACCUGCCUGGUAGCGGGGGAUAACUAUUGGAAACGAUAGCUAAUACCGCAUAAGAGUAGAUGUUGCAUGACAUUUGCUUAAAAGGUGCAAUUGCAUCACUACCAGAUGGACCUGCGUUGUAUUAGCUAGUUGGUGGGGUAACGGCUCACCAAGGCGACGAUACAUAGCCGACCUGAGAGGGUGAUCGGCCACACUGGGACUGAGACACGGCCCAGACUCCUACGGGAGGCAGCAGUAGGGAAUCUUCGGCAAUGGACGGAAGUCUGACCGAGCAACGCCGCGUGAGUGAAGAAGGUUUUCGGAUCGUAAAGCUCUGUUGUAAGAGAAGAACGAGUGUGAGAGUGGAAAGUUCACACUGUGACGGUAUCUUACCAGAAAGGGACGGCUAACUACGUGCCAGCAGCCGCGGUAAUACGUAGGUCCCGAGCGUUGUCCGGAUUUAUUGGGCGUAAAGCGAGCGCAGGCGGUUAGAUAAGUCUGAAGUUAAAGGCUGUGGCUUAACCAUAGUACGCUUUGGAAACUGUUUAACUUGAGUGCAAGAGGGGAGAGUGGAAUUCCAUGUGUAGCGGUGAAAUGCGUAGAUAUAUGGAGGAACACCGGUGGCGAAAGCGGCUCUCUGGC